CUCCUGGCUCAGAUGGCCCAGGGCUACAGGACCCUUGUGAGAAAGGACCACAGGAUGCCCUGGAGCCCAUGACCCCACAGCAGCGAGAAGACCUGACAGCCAGUGCACAGCAUGCCCUGCGUCUUGUGGCCUUCCGGCAGAUACACAAGGUCCUGCACAUGGAACACUUACCUCCACGGACCAGAUUCGGGGCCCGGAAGAGGAUGAGGGAGGCUAGUCAGACCCCCUGGUGUAAUCCCUAGGCUUCAACCCUGUUCCAUUCUGCCUGUGGCUUUCUAAGGCCAGCCAGCCCACAAAAGCCUGGGUGGGGAAUAAAGUAGAUCUGCCCA
rnacentral:lncRNA from 1 species